GUGACGAGCCAGAGAGUUUCUCACAAAGGCAUAUUCACAGAAAAACGUUGGCACAUGCAAUGCCUAGAUGACAGGGAGACACAGAUGGAGGAAGACACCAUCUUUGUCAGAUUUGGUCAAACUGUGCUCCAGGCCUAUAGCCUAUCCCCGGAUAGGCCUAUGCAACUGCAGCCCCGCUCGCCUGUGUGAGCUCCGUCUCUGCCUGGCUUUCCCACGGCGGCUGAAUGUGGCCUGACCCCCUUCAGAGAGGUUUGACACGGAGCGGGGACAUUUCCGCAUUCCUCCCCGACUACAAAGGCACACCGCCUCCUUUUUGCUCUCCCUCGGCCUCCUCGGUGCUUUACCAUUCAUAGUCCUCUCCGCGGGUUUUGUCUCCUGUGUCAAAACCGGGAGCACCGCAGGGAUCGGAGAGGGUAGAGAGGAGGUUUAAUGGAUGGACUGCCACACUAUCUAUCUCACUCAAACCAUUGAGGAACUCCUGCGGCAACAAUGCGCCAGCGGGGAUGCAAUGUGACAAGCUCGCCCUAGAUAGUCCUGAGGGGUCAGGUUCAAGGCCCGGUGGCUUGAUCUGUGGCAGGGGGAGUCUCUGAGUCCCCUGCUAGGGUGGUCGUUUGCAAGGCUCCAUGCCCCUCAACAGGCGUGGUGGCCAUGUGGGCAAACUUUUUUGAAAAUACGGGAAAUUCUGCAGAGCAUCUCAUCAUCAUCAUCUCAGGGUAUACCUUUGAUUAAUUUCACAGCAAAAUAUGGACAAUUCUGAAACUCUGCAAGUCAAUUUACAACAUGUAAGAAUGCUAAUAAUUAUCUUUUUAUAUCUAUACUUUAAAUAUUAAAACAGAAUUACUCAAACAGGAAUGGGAAUUGUUCAUUUAAAAUGUAUAUAAACAUAACCUACACAUACAAGUUAUUAUGUUAUAGAAUUUAUUAUCAAUAACUGUAAUAUCUGGUAAAUGUCACUGUCUCUUCUUAAAUCCUCAAACCUAAUAAUUAAAUAUUUUCUAACCCACAGAAAUAAAAUUGUAUGUAUACUUUAAUUCUUGCCUUUUUAUCAAUUUCUUUUAAGUUAUGUUUAAUUUUUGCUUUAUUGUAUUAGUUUAGUUUUAUUUUAAUAGACCCAUUCAUGCUUAAAAUUCUAACUCUAUUACAUAUCAUAUCAGGUGUAGACAUUUAAAACAACAUGAUCUGUCUGAAAAAUUCUUCAAACUGACAAAGUUUGUAUUUCACUUUUUUUCCUCUUUCAUGAUGGACACGGUUUAGACAUGACAAGACUUGAUGUCAGAUUGUUCUAAUGAAUAGCCAGUUACAGGCGUGUAACCAAUCUUCAUUAUCAUAACUUCAGUGGACGGCGUGUAUUAAAGACGCACAGGAGAUCAGAGGAAGGAGAUUCCUCUGGUGCUAUGAUUUAUAUGCCAACUUGUCUUGCAUGCUGUUUGUAGAAUCCACAUAUUUCCAUUGAAAAGAUCAAGUUGGGUGAGAUAAUGACAUGAAAUAUGUAUGGCAAUCUCCCCUGCCCAACUUUAUAGGCAACCCCAAAUUUAAACCAUUUGCAUCACAAAACACACAAUGCAGACAAUGUAUCCCAGUCCAAUUACUGAAAAUGCCCACAUUUACAUUUUUUCAUCAUCAUUGUUCAUGUGAAAUCAGCUCUGAGAGCCAUUGCCCAGACUGAAUACAUUAGCAUGCAUACUUCUUAUGAGAGCUAACCAAUUAGAUCCGUUGUGUGCGGUAUAGAGAUGAGAGAGAGAUACACACCUCAAACACACACACGCUCAUUCUGCAACAGUCUGAUUAGUCAAUAUCUGAUACAUAAACUUUAAGUUUCCACAGUCUGUGUUUGUUUACCUUGAUGGGGCUCAUGCUGGGGAACCAUUUUUGAAAAGAUACUGGAACAGGAUGGUCCAAUUAAGAACAACAUAUUCUGGGAACAGCAUGGUCAGAAUAUAAUUUAAUGUUUAAUCUUGAAUUCUUGAAGUUGCAGUGUGAACAAUAAUACCAUGUACUAUCAAUUCAGAAUCAAAUGUGGACAAGAUGCAAAAAUGAAAGAUUAAACAAUUCUGAUAAA